ACGGUAUCCUUGUUUGAAUACAUAGGACAAGAGAAGCGAACCCGGAGAACUGAACCAUUUAAGUACCCGGAGGAAAAGAAAUCAACCGAGAUUCCGCAAGUAGUGGCGAGCGAACGCGGAGGAGCCUGUAUACGAUAGCCGAUGAGAUAGAAGAACAAGCUGGGAAGCUUGACCAUAGUGGGUGAUAGUCCCGUAUUCGAAAUUUCGUUGGUGGUACUAGGUAUACGACAAGUAGGGCGGGACACGAGAAAUCCUGUCUGAAGAUGGGGGGACCAUCCUCCAAGGCUAAAUACUCAUCAUCGACCGAUAGUGAACCAGUACCGUGAGGGAAAGGCGAAAAGAACCCCGGGAGGGGAGUGAAAUAGAACCUGAAACCUGAUGCAUACAAACAGUGGGAGCCCUGUAAGGGGUGACUGCGUACCUUUUGUAUAAUGGGUCAACGACUUACAUUCAGUAGCGAGCUUAACCGGAUAGGGGAGGCGUAGGGAAACCGAGUCUUAAUAGGGCGACUAGUUGCUGGGUGUAGACCCGAAACCGAGUGAUCUAUCCAUGGCCAGGAUGAAGGUGCCGUAACAGGUACUGGAGGUCCGAACCCACGCAUGUUGCAAAAUGCGGGGAUGAGCUGUGGAUAGGGGUGAAAGGCUAAACAAACUCGGAGAUAGCUGGUUCUCCCCGAAAACUAUUUAGGUAGUGCCUCGAGCUAGACACUGAUGGGGGUAAAGCACUGUUAUGGCUAGGGGGUCAUUGCGACUUACCAACCCAUGGCAAACUAAGAAUACCAUCAAGUGGUUCCUCGGGAGACAGACAGCGGGUGCUAACGUCCGUUGUCAAGAGGGAAACAACCCAGACCGCCGGCUAAGGUCCCAAAUGACAGAUUAAGUGGUAAACGAAGUGGGAAGGCCCAGACAGCCAGGAUGUUGGCUUAGAAGCAGCCAUCAUUUAAAGAAAGCGUAAUAGCUCACUGGUCGAGUCGUCCUGCGCGGAAGAUGUAACGGGGCUCAAAUCUGUAACCGAAGCCGCGGAUGCCGCAAGGCAUGGUAGGGGAGCGUUCUGUAGGCCGAAGAAGGUGUAUCGUAAGGUAUGCUGGAGGUAUCAGAAGUGCGAAUGUUGACAUGAGUAGCGAUAAAGCGGGUGAAAAGCCCGCUCGCCGAAAGCCCAAGGUUUCCUACGCAACGUUCAUCGGCGUAGGGUGAGUCGGCCCCUAAGGCGAGGCAGAAAUGCGUAGUCGAUGGGAAACGGGUUAAUAUUCCCGUACUUUGAUUCAAUGCGAUGUGGGGACGGAGAAGGUUAGGUUAGCAAACUGUUGGAAUAGUUUGUUCAAGCCGGUAGGUGUAAGACUUAGGCAAAUCCGGGUCUUUUUAACACCGAGAAGUGAUAACGAGUGUCUACGGACACGAAGUAACCGAUACCACGCUUCCAGGAAAAGCCACUAAGCUUCAGUUGAAUCAGAACCGUACCGCAAACCGACACAGGUGGGCAGGAUGAGAAUUCUAAGGCGCUUGAGAGAACUCGGGAGAAGGAACUCGGCAAAUUGAUACCGUAACUUCGGGAGAAGGUAUACCCUCUAAUGUUAAGGACUUGCUCCGUAAGCAUAGGAGGGUCGCAGAGAAUCGGUGGCUGCGACUGUUUAUUAAAAACACAGCACUCUGCUAACACGAAAGUGGACGUAUAGGGUGUGACGCCUGCCCGGUGCUGGAAGGUUAAUUGAAGAUGUUAGCGCAUCGGAUCGAAGCCCCAGUAAACGGCGGCCGUAACUAUAACGGUCCUAAGGUAGCGAAAUUCCUUGUCGGGUAAGUUCCGACCCGCACGAAUGGCGUAACGAUGGCCACACUGUCUCCUCCCGAGACUCAGCGAAGUUGAAGUGGUUGUGAAGAUGCAAUCUACCCGCUGCUAGACGGAAAGACCCCGUGAACCUUUACUGUAGCUUUGCAUUGGACUUUGAAGUCACUUGUGUAGGAUAGGUGGGAGGCUUAGAAGCAGGAACGCCAGUUCUUGUGGAGCCGUCCUUGAAAUACCACCCUGGUGACUUUGAGGUUCUAACCCAGACCCGUAAUCCGGGUCGGGGACCGUGCAUGGUAGGC
rnacentral:rRNA from 1 species